rnacentral:rRNA from 1 species
AGAGUUUGAUCAUGGCUCAGAUUGAACGCUGGCGGCAGGCCUAACACAUGCAAGUCGAGCGGUAGAGAGAAGCUUGCUUCUCUUGAGAGCGGCGGACGGGUGAGUAAUGCCUUGGAAUCUGCCUGGUAGUGGGGGAUAACGUUCGGAAACGGACGCUAAUACCGCAUACGUCCUACGGGAGAAAGCUGGGGACCUUCGGGCCUUGCGCUAUCAGAUGAGCCUAGGUCGGAUUAGCUAGUUGGUGAGGUAAUGGCUCACCAAGGCGACGAUCCGUAACUGGUCUGAGAGGAUGAUCAGUCACACUGGAACUGAGACACGGUCCAGACUCCUACGGGAGGCAGCAGUGGGGAAUAUUGGACAAUGGGCGAAAGCCUGAUCCAGCCAUGCCGCGUGUGUGAAGAAGGUCUUCGGAUUGUAAAGCACUUUAAGUUGGGAGGAAGGGUUGUAGAUUAAUACUCUGCAAUUUUGACGUUACCGACAGAAUAAGCACCGGCUAACUCUGUGCCAGCAGCCGCGGUAAUACAGAGGGUGCAAGCGUUAAUCGGAAUUACUGGGCGUAAAGCGCGCGUAGGUGGUUUGUUAAGUUGGAUGUGAAAUCCCCGGGCUCAACCUGGGAACUGCAUUCAAAACUGACUGACUAGAGUAUGGUAGAGGGUGGUGGAAUUUCCUGUGUAGCGGUGAAAUGCGUAGAUAUAGGAAGGAACACCAGUGGCGAAGGCGACCACCUGGACUAAUACUGACACUGAGGUGCGAAAGCGUGGGGAGCAAACAGGAUUAGAUACCCUGGUAGUCC